AUCGAACGCUGGCGGCAGGCCUAACACAUGCAAGUCGAGCGGAUGAAGGGAGCUUGCUCCUGGAUUCAGCGGCGGACGGGUGAGUAAUGCCUAGGAAUCUGCCUGGUAGUGGGGGAUAACGUCCGGAAACGGGCGCUAAUACCGCAUACGUCCUGAGGGAGAAAGUGGGGGAUCUUCGGACCUCACGCUAUCAGAUGAGCCUAGGUCGGAGUAGCUAGUUGGUGGGGUAAAGGCCUACCAAGGCGACGAUCCGUAACUGGUCUGAGAGGAUGAUCAGUCACACUGGAACUGAGACACGGUCCAGACUCCUACGGGAGGCAGCAGUGGGGAAUAUUGGACAAUGGGCGAAAGCCUGAUCCAGCCAUGCCGCGUGUGUGAAGAAGGUCUUCGGAUUGUAAAGCACUUUAAGUUGGGAGGAAGGGCAGUAAGUUAAUACCUUGCUGUUUUGACGUUACCAACAGAAUAAGCACCGGCUAACUUCGUG
rnacentral:rRNA from 1 species